rnacentral:tRNA from 1 species
AUAGGAGUAUUUCAAUUGGUAGAAUCCGUGUUCUGGAAACAUGAGGUUGUCAGUUCGAGUCUGGCCUUCUAUA